CUUCAAGACAUAUAGAGCCUAGUGAGGACUCUUCAGGCCUCGGAACCAGGAUGACACAACCAAACCAGUUUGCUGUGCUGAAAUGAAAUGAUCCUGAAGAGUGGAGUGUAACCAACACAAUAUGGAAUUUCAGCUCUAAGUGUAUGAGUGCACUCUGAACCUGCUCUCCUACAGAGACUUCUCAUGGAGAGUAGCUGACUGGUCUAAUGCUGAGUUUCCUGGUUUCUGAGGAGUCUCCAUCAGAACCUCCACCCA